GUAGGUGGCAAGCGUUGUCCGGAAUUAUUGGGCGUAAAGCGCGCGCAGGCGGUUCUUUAAGUCCGAUGUGAAAGCCCACGGCUCAACCGUGGAGGGUCAUUGGAAACUGGAGAACUUGAGUACAGAAGAGGAAAGCGGAAUUCCACGUGUAGCGGUGAAAUGCGUAGAGAUGUGGAGGAACACCUGUGGCGAAGGCGGCUUUCUGGUCUGUAACUGACGCUGAGGCGCGAAAGCGUGGGGAGCAAACAGGAUUAGAUACCCUGGUAGUCCACGCCGUAAACGAUGAGUGCUAAGUGUUAGGGGGGUUUCCGCCCCCCUUAGUGCUGCAGCUAACGCAUUAAGCACUCCGCCUGGGAGUACGGCCGCAAGGCUG
rnacentral:rRNA from 1 species